UCAAACCAUCCACAACUCUCCCUUAA
rnacentral:piRNA from 1 species